AGCUAUUUGUGAGUUUAGAUAUUGAGAAUGCCGAGAUUACUUGAAGAGAACACAACACUGUCAUGAGGUCCGGCAAAAUGGAAGGCGUAAAGAUAUUGUUGGUUCUGUGUUUAAUGCUGGAAAGCUGUUACGGCGGCUGGGUUAAUUCUUUUGAUUAUUAUUUGAAUUUUCAAUGUCCGACGGGCCAACAGAUUGUAACAAUAUCAAGUUAUCACAACGAUUAUUACGAGGAUAGGAAAUGGAGUUACCAAUGCCAAGACUAUGCCACACUGGGCUCCUGUACAUGGCACGAUAGAGUUAAUAGUUAUGAUAAUGUGAUGAACUUCAAAUGUCCAGGCAACGGUGCAAUAUGCGGAUUCAGGGGUUCGCAUAGUAAUUAUUAUGAGGACAGGGAAUACGGCGUCAAAUGCUGUACACUGCCCGAAUUAUUCCCGACAGAAUUAUCUUGUGAAUGGUCUGGCAAAGUAAAUGGAUAUGAUCAUACCUUUUAUUAUGGUGUACCGUGGCAUAGAUACAUACAUGGUAUUUACAGUGUUCACAGUGAUUGGUAUGAGGAUCGAGUUUUUCAAUUCUAUGUAUGCAACAGAUGGCUUUGGUAAUAAUUCUUUGAAUUUGCUAACCCGUCUUUAAGAGAUUGUUAGAAAAUAAAAAUAUCUGUUAAACAUUUUA